CUCUGAAACUACUGGGCCAAAUUAAACCAAACUUGGCCACAAUCAUCAUUGAUGUAGCUAGUUUAAAAUUGUGUUAUGUGACCCGGUCAACCAACCAAAUGCCCUUUAUAGUCAAUUUUUAACCAUUUUUCGUAAAUCUCCAUGAUCUUUUACAAAAAUCUUCUCCUCUGAAACUACCAGCCAAAUUAAUCCAUACUUGGCCACAAUCAUCUUUGGGGUAUUAAGUUUUAAAAAUGUGUCCGGUGACCCAGCAUCAAACCAAGAUGGCCGCCACGCCUAAAAAUAGAACAUGGAGGUUAAAUGCAGUUUUUGGUUAUUACUCAAAAACCAAAGCAUUUAGAGCAAAUCUGACAAGGGGUAAAAUUGUUUACCUGGUCAAUAUCUAUCUGCCCUGAAAUUUUAAGAUGAAUGGGACAACCCGUUGUUGGGUUGCUGCCCCUGAAUUUGUAAUUUUAAGGAAAUUUUGCUGUUUUUGGAUAUUAUCUUGAAUAUUAUUAUGGAUAGAUUUAAACUGUAAUCAGCAAAAAUGUUCAGCAAAGUAAGAUUUACAAAUAAGUCAACAGGACCAAAAUGGUAUUGCCCUUUAUAGUCAAUUUUAAACCAUUUUUCGUAAAUCAUAGUUAACUUUUACAAAAAUCUUCUCCUCUGAAACUACUGAGCCAAAUUUUACCAAACAUAGCCAGAAUCAUUAUUAGGCUAUCUAGUUUAAAAAUUGUGUUUUGUGACCGGACAAACCAACCAAGAUGGCCACUACGGCUAAAAAUAGAACAUAGGGGUAAAAUGCAGUUUUUGGCUUUUAACUCAAAAACCAAAGCAUUUAGAGCAAAUCUGAUUUAUACAGACAUGAUAAAUUUAAACAAUAAACAAAAGAAGGACUUACCGCGCUACUAAAUGGACAGGAACUUUCAUGAAUUGAUUCCAACUUAUCCAGGUUAUGACAAACAAAUUUCACCUCCAACCAGUCUGGUCACUGAAGAGUUUUUACUAUUGAAAUGAUAUGUGAACAUUCCAAUCUUUUGGCAGCCAUGAAUAUUCCAA
rnacentral:lncRNA from 1 species